UCUUGCUCCCAGUUUCAGAGGAUUUUCUUAUUUGAUGAUGUGUCAGCUGUAACUUCUCAACUACUAUGUGUUGAAAUGAGCUAACCGGUGGAAUUUGUGUUGACAUCUAAUAUUACUCCCUGGGAUAAAUUCAGUGAUCCAUGAAGUCCAAGCAGUGCAGAAGCUUCUGAAACUGUAUUCAGUUGUACUUCCCAAGAGCUUGCUCAGCAAUGCCAACACAUUAUGGAAUCAAUGGGGAACCGGAAGAAGACAAGCAGCAAACUUUGUCACCUCUUUCAUGCUUCCUUUUCCAAGAGGAGAACUGUUAGCAGGAGCCCACAUCCUCAUAUCUGGUGCCUUUGACAGCUCAGACAAGAGAGUAAUGGUACACGUCGUAUGAAACAAUACAUGUGCAAGGAUUCCAUGAGAAGUAAGCACUCUGGGAGGAAGCUCGUGCAACCACUUCCUUGUCAGUGGUCUCUUGUGAUGGUUGCAGUUGUUCUCUUCAAAUUUGAGAUGGCAAUAUGAGUGUGGGUACCUAGGAGACGAUCACGGUUCCCAUAGAAGCUGAGAAGGAGCACAGACAGAACAACGGAAUGGUCAAUGGAAUAUUCUGCGCCAUAGAUGUCAUGUUUGAAACCAAACUGAAGGUGUGGACAUAUGGAUGCUUGGAUACCUGUCUAAUAUGGCAUCAAGAUGCAGCUGAAACUUACACCCAGAUCUAAAUGUGUCAGUCCUGGUCAGAACCUGGAAUGCUACCUUCAGAUUAUGGAAGCUGGCAAAAUUCAUAACCGGGCAAAAGGGAAAAUAUUCACAUAACUCUCGGCAAGAAACCAAAUCAAACUAUUCUUUUUAAUUGCAGAUUCAGGCGCUCCAUCUAAUUUUGUCAGUCAGUGAGAUUUAAAAACCUCAACAGCUCUGAGCAUCAGGUCAAUUCUUCAAGGCUUGUGCAGGCAUAACAGGAUUUGUAUCAGAAAUAAGAAGGUGCCUACGGAUGUAGUUACCAGUCGAGAAGGUCUCUGUGUCACAUUAACAUGGGUAUGUACCUACGGUUGCUUUCUUUUUGGCACAGUUUCUUAUUGCUACUCCUACUGUUCUUCUGAGACAAUGUUAAGGCUUUCAGCGUGUGUGCCAUGUCAGUGGUGUUCUCAGUAUUGUUGUGUCAAGCGCAAAUUGGCCCCUAAGUCACCAACCUUGUUAGGGCCACAGACUUGUCACAGGGGCACUGCCAGAGAGGCAAUGGAUGCAGCUACCACGGGACACUCUGGGGUGGCUCGUGUCUGAAGUGGCUCUUUGCACAAAGCCCGGAUCCCACCCGACAUACCGGGGGCACGGCCAGGUGGUACCUGACUGGGCUGUGAGAAACUAGGGCUUUCCCUGUGGAAUUUUUUCCAGGACAGCUCUCAAGGUAUCCCCUUGUGCCCAAAAGUGCUACUAUUUCUCUCUUUCUUGAGCUGUGUUGUCUGGUUAGGGAAGCAGUUCAGAAUAAUUGGGCUUCUUGUCUGGGCUUUGGGAGGCUGACGGUCUAAAAUACAAGAAGCAAAAGAAAAACACCUUAAAAAGAUGUGCUUUUCAGCCCCCUAAAAAUGAACAUACUUGCUCUUGAGAUCAAACAAAACCUAUUUUCUGUUUUUAUCAGCUUUGUUUGCAGGACAAGUGAACAGGCUUCAUUUGCAUAAAGGUGGUAAGUUUAAAAGAAAAAAAAGAAUUCUGUAUAAAUUUCUCAGGAAAAAGGUACCUUUUCACUUUUGCUAUAUGAUGAGAGAAGCACUAAGCACCAGAGCAAAACAGAGAAAAAGGACGUAUCAAAUCUGAGGACAGUUACUGUAACCCCCUCACUUUUCUUUUAAUUCAUUUAAUUAAGAAUAUAUUUGUAGUUUAUAAUACGAUUAUUUUUUUUCUCAACUGGCUGCAGUCAAAGCUAUGACUUGCUAUGUAGUUUGGCCAGUUAAAAAUACUAAAAUUACUUUCUUCCCUCCUGCUCUUCCAAUCUUUCUUCUUUGCAGAUGGCAGAGGACAAUAUGCUGGGUCUGCAAUAACACUGACUCAAAAUUCCUUGCUAAUUGUAAGAUAACUUCCUAAAGAUUGCAAGCAAAAGGAAGUCAGAGAACAAAGCAAUGUCAAGUAUGCACAUGUCACAACACAAUGUGCUGAUUCCAAGCCUUUGGAAACAUGCUGAAAGACAUGUCUGGAAAAAAAAAAAACAGGGAAGUGCUUCCACACAGUCUCUCAGCAUGAAAACAACAGCUGAAUGUGCCUGUUCCCACCAGGAAAAAAUACCCUGAAAUAACAAAAGGUGCUGGAAAGCUAGAAAUGAAAUCAUCAGAUGGCGAGUACACUCUUUUGUCUGUUCCUAAAAUUUACAUAGACUGUACUUCCACUGCAUUGUAAAUCAAGGGAUUAAUCUGGAGUCAUGUUUGACUGCGAGGUGCCAAGAAGACCAAGAAAAAUGGAAUGUAUAAACAGGUCUCUCUUACAAUGGAGGACUAGUAGAACAAAACAGAAGUAAAGCAAACAAAGGGCCACACUUUCAGAUAAUGUAUCUGCAGGAAUGCAAACUCUGUGCAUUCCUGAUCACUCCUGUAGGUACUGAAUGCACAAAAGACACACUCUUGAGGAGAUUGGCAUACACAGUGUUUCUUUGUGAAAGUGUCUGCAUACAUUCCCUUCAUAACCACAGGUAAAUCUUUGCAUCAUUGGUGUACUCUAAAGAUGUAAGUGUUUUCAAUUAGGCCUGUCACUUGUUGGCUUGCUGAGUCCAAUUUUCUGUCAUCUUAAGAGCUAAGGGUUGAGUAAAUUCCAGGGGAAAAUUAUGGGAUCCUAAUGAAAGAUGACAUGUACAACACAAAUGAAACACUGCAUGCAUCUGACUUAAGAUGUUACAAAACAUCACCUCCAAAACCAGAGAGAUAUCAUACAUAAAUGCAAAUGAAGCAACACUCAGUAAUGAAUAAUGAUGUGACUAGGCAUUUUUCUUUCAAAACUGACAGAAGGAAACAAAAUUAUCCCUAGUUUCUGCAGGCAGAAACAAGUACCUGGAUGAAAAGCAAGUUGCCUAACAUUGCAUAUCAGCUCAGGAAUAAAUUCUCCAUCUUCAGAUUCUCAAGUGACUUUGUAAAACUGUUCCUUUUUGUGAACUGCCGAGUCCCAAAGAGCACUCAUGACAAGUGCACCUGAAAGGCUUGUUUUGUAUUCGGUGCUUCUAGUUGUGCUCCCAGAGAUACAUGCCAUAAAAUGACCUCAGGGUUUGUUAAUGUUUCCUACAGCAGACAUAAUAUGCAUGAAAAUGAACGCCCAACCUUACUUUAAGUGAAAGUAAUUUAGGUAUAUUUUACUAAAAUUUUGCAGACGUAUGUUAAAAUCUAGCAUAAAUGUUUCUGCCAAAUAGAGAAAAAGUGUUGCUGUGAUUAUAAAGGCUGAACAUGAAAUAAGCUGAAAAACUGCUUAUUUCCCCUGGCUGAGAACUGUAGUAUCUCUCUUAAACCUAUUUGUUUGUUAGAUAUUCCUUGUCAGUGCACUAUUUGGGAUUCGAGCCUUUCUUGCAGAUUCUAAUUUGGACUCCAACUGUAUGAAGCACCAUGUAAAUUUGGUGUUCAGCUGUCUUCCAUAUAUUUUCAUGCAAUUAAUGGAUUUCUCCUUCCCUCUUGGACUGAGGGAAGAUAAUAAUUGAGAAUAUCUGACUCUCACUGUAGGAAGUGAUGUUCAGGGAAAAUGGGGCUUCUUUUGAACUAAUGCUAUUUUUUUUAUUUGUGCAAACAAAAACCUGACCAAACUGAGCCUUUGCACCAGCAGUGAACUUGAGAGUGUGCCACCAGAUGCCAAGUAUAGACGCAAUACAAGAGGAUAUGGGCAAAAGCGAGGCCUGUUGAAACCCAUCAGAAAGAUUGACUGGCACCCUGGGUAAGGAUGACGGACCCCAGGAUCCACAUUUUCCAACAUGGAUGUUGGAGCACACAAUGUUGUGGAGAACCACAGUGUUUUGGAUCAACUUUUGUUAUGGAAAUAUUUCCAAACUGUUGUCAUUUCUGCAUUGGUCACAACAUUGGCCAGGAAACAGGGGAAGAAGAACCAACUUUUUAUGAAGUUUUUGCCAACUCCACUCCAGGGCAAUGGCAAUUCUUCCCAUUUCAGGAGGAACACCCUUUUCCAGAUGACUCCUAAUAUUCUUCUUUCUUCAACUCAGGAAUUUUGAGACCACAACGCUUCUCUCCUUUGAAAUGCUUUCACUCGGAGAAGUUGUACGAUGCGGUGGAAUUUCUUUCUUCUUUAUAUCUGUGUUGGCUAAAGCAAGACAGAGGAGCUUGAAAAGGCUCGCCCUCCUCAAGGAACACUAUCUGAUUCGUAAGCAUUCCUAGAGGUUAAGGCUGGUGACUAUCAAGAAAGCAAAUACUUCACGCAAGGGAGAUGCCCUGGGCUUUGCUUUAGUGUUCAGCUCUGCAGAAGUGUCCCCCAGAAUCCAGAUGCCUGGGAAUUUGCCCUGAAUUUACAGAAAGACAGACUUGCAAGUGCCAUUGGGAACUAAUUUGCCAGAUCUAAGAAUAUAAAAAGCAGUGCAUUCAGAUGUUCAAAACACUGACCCAGAUGGCAUGGCAAUUUCAUUUUUUUCAACUUAUGAUAAUGGAUUAAAUCAUAAAAAAGAGCUAUAUUACAUCUGUGGAGAUUGACUAGGAUGAUUUGUACUAAAUGGAUUUUUUUAAAUGGGAUAAUUUUUUUUCCACAAAGUUCAAUAAGAGUCAAGAUUAUAUCUCUAUGUGUUUUGGAGCCAAAAAGUGCAUGGCCUGGAAAGGAAGGAAGGAUAAGAAGACAGUGGGAGUGAAUCAAUAUUUCAUUCUAGUGAUGCUUUUGCGUUACUCCAACUGGUCAGUUUUACGUAUAAACCUCUGACUGCAGUGCUAUCCAUCACAGUUGCUCAAAAAUGAAAAGCUACAUCAUCUUUGCUGAUAGCAGCACAGAUGAGAAAACAGGAACAAUGCCUACCUCAGAUAAAAUGUCUUGGGAGCUCUGGAGAAUUUAGACCUUGGAAAUUUUAUGGGGCUGCUGAUCUGAGCUACUGAGGAGACUUUUGCAAAUGUGCCUUCAGAUGACACAAACCCAGAGUAAAUCCCUUCAAAACCUCACUGGUGUUUCUAAAACAGCAUCAAAGGACACACGUCAGUGGUACAAGGAAAUUAGGUGGAAGUUGAAGAGCUAGAUUACCCUCUUCUGAGUCAGACCUAAACUAUUGGACUCUUCAGUUUUGGAUUCAGAAUGGCAGAAAAUCUUCACUUUAUCCAGUUCAACAUUUUUAAGGGUGACUGAAAGGCCAGAGAAGACGCUGCAGGAAGACUUGCAAGCAACAAUAAAUAUGGAAGUUGUUUCCAAUGCAAUGUUUUGAAAUGCUUUAAGAGCUUUAAUCAAAAGGUCCUGCUAUGAUCAUUUCUGGUAGAGGAAUAAGAGUAGUAUUUUGACAAUAAAUAUUUUAUUUCUGAUGUUACUUUCUCUGAAAACCACCAUUGGGAAAGUGGAGGUAAUUGAUGACAACACAGAUUUAAAGAAUGCUAUAAACUUAUCUCAUGGAAGAAGAUGAUGACAGUUUUUGAACAUCGCCGACCAGUCAAGAACUGCUGCCGCCAGAUGAAAACCUCCCAUUGUUUUUACUCUGAAGCUUGAUUACUUAAUAAAAACAUCUCUGUGACUCAGUAGUAUCUGACACACGGGAACUACCUCAAAGGCCUUUGAGGUCCCUUCCUCUCAAAUGUCCUUUAGAAGGCAGAAUAACACAUCUUUGUGGUGGCUCCAGAUCAUCUACAGGGACCUCUCUACCCAUGACCACCUGGCUUUCAGUGCUCCUCUCUAUGGCCGGUUUGAGAGUGUGGGACUGGUCUUCUGUUUCUGUGGUCCUACAGACAUAAACAUUAUAAAAUGAUGGAAUCAUAAUGGCCUAAUCCAUCUCCUACCAAGAAAAUUGUACACACUGCUUGGAAAACCAUCUAUUAACGUUGAAAUUAAUAGCAUCAAGACCAUUCAUUCAGCAAGCCCAAAACCAUAACAGGACUCAAAUAAUCAGUUACAUAACAAUGAAGUGUUUAUGAGGGUGCAAGUUCUUCCAAAUUGCUGAAAUAUUACAAGUAUUACCUUGUUAACAUUUGAAUCACAGGCAUGACCAAAACAGUAACACAGAAGAACGGCAGGAAGGAGAGUAAGAACAAGAGAGAGCAACUGACCUUUUCAUGAUGACAGUGCUUGACACCUUCUGCUGUUCCACUUUCUCCAAGUCAUAGUCUCAAAAGUCUAAAUUCUCUCUUCAAAGAAACAAAUUCAUUUAAAAAGCCUUUAAGAACAGCAUCAAAGACUGUAUGUAUUUAUACAUAUAGGUGUCUCUAAAUAUGCCAACUAAACUGCUGUUUCUUUGAGAUAUUUCAACAUCACUGGUGGUGAAAGCUGCUUUGUUUUAAAUCAUCUCCACCAAUGGGUUUUUCAGUCAAAUCAAGACGUUUAUUUUUAAUGGUGUUUUCUAUUAAAUGGAUAGCCAGAUGGAGGCUGUGUCGCCAGCAGAGCCAGCAAAUCCUGCCUAAAAUGUGCAGGCACACUUUGUGCUGGUGCUUGCUCUUUAAUUUGCUUCCUAUAGCUCACUAGAUACAGAGAAGACCUACCUGUAAUCAGCUUCUCCACCUGAAAGAGAUUAACUUGAUAAAUUCAGGGAAAAUGAAGUGACCAAGAAUCAGCUGUUAGUGUCUUUUCCAGUGGUAACCAUACUUAGGCUUUACAUUUUCCCAUAGAUACCAUACGUACCUGUUGAACCUAGUUAUAUCUUCUGCUGUACCAGUGGAGAUAAAGUGGGCAUUUGAUGGGCUUUUUUGAUUCCUGAGGCCACUCAGUUGCUCUGUUUCCUGUUUUAUGGUAGAUCCUUUUUUUCUGUAUUAAGUUCAUAUGAAAUGGAGCAGUUUUCAUAUGGUUUUGGAAGUAUGUGACCAGCAAAGCAGUCUCAAAAAACCAGCCAGUUUUAUUUUCAGUUUAUAUUGCUGUAGAUCUUGAAUAUCUUCCGCUUUACAAGCACCUUUCUGUAAAAGAAACAAAAGACAGAUUUCUUACUCCCUGGCCAUCCUGCAAAGUCCUGCAUGAAACAGCCCAUAGGUCUCAUAGCAGUAAUUCAGUCAAGUGCACAAAUUCCACUCUUACCCCUGUAUUUCUUACGCUGAAGUUGACAAUCUCUUUGGGGAAUGACGGUGAGAAGACUGGGUGGCUCAAAAUAUUAUUGAUGGGCUGCUGAACGUCUGGCUACAGAUUUUGUAGAGUCAUGAGGGAAUUGACCAUGCACUCUCUAUUAAUCUUCUAUUAAUUUAUCUUGUGGCUGAAUCCCACAGCUAAUGUUGAAGACUUCAGCCCUCCAUUUAGCCAAUUUGGUCAAAGGCAGGCUGAUGGCAACUGAAAGCUGUGACCAGCUGAUGGCUGUAUCUAAGGGUAGUUUGUGAAAAUUGCUUUACUGGCCUUAGUCCAAAUUUUACUAAUAAAAUGUCAGUAUCUAAAAAAAAAAAAAAACCCUCCAAAAUAACUGCUGGCUGAAGGUUCAAGGGCAACCAAGGGUUUAAAGGCAAGAAGGGUGAACUUGUCUCUGCUAGAAGUAUUCUCUGUACGCCAGCAAUGAAGUGCAAAGGGGCACAUUUAUGUUAGCACCACCCAGGCUGUCAAUGAAGAACUGUCCUCAGAAAUACCAAAUUGACUUCAUAUGAAUUUCUCACUCUUACAAAACCGUUUUCCCACCAGGCAGAAGAGAUCACAAAAUUAAGCAGCAUUCCCUCCUUCUCACAUCUCUGCAGUUUGUAAACACUGUGCCUGUCAUAAUGGUCCCAGGAGGUUUCCUUAACCAUAAUGUCUCAUCUCUGCAAGCAGCUGCUUCCUUUUUGCAUCAGAGUUCUUGGAGACUUGCUUCGCUUAUCAAAACUAAACCACUGAAAAGCUGGUAAAUAACCAAGUUCUAUGGGGAAGAAAUCCCACUGCAGUUGGACAGAUUUUCUUAACCUAUAAAAUAAUUCUGGAAUAGCUGGUUUUUUGGCAAGAUUCUAAAAUGUAACAAAGUUUGAUUGUUCUUAGCUUCUCCUAAUUUUCUUACUUUGGGGUUACAGAUGACCCUCAAUACACACAUGUUAGUCCCAUUACUGUUAACAGGAGUUAAAUAUACACACAUAUCUAAGAAAGGCUUGACCAUUUACUCUUAGUGUUCCAAGGUCAGCUGAAGUCUGGACCUUUUACUUUCUCUAUGCUCCACUAAUUGAGAACAAAGCUUAUGCAAGACUUCCUUGGGGAACACGAGGUCUGAGGUUUUUACAGUCCACAAGGCUAAAAUUCAAAUAUGAACCACAGCUGUUUGGACAGGAGUCCUGGACCUCUUUGUUUUGAACUGUAGUGACCUGCUCAGCCUUACCAACAUGUGAAACUCUGAAAGCCCUGACAGCUAAUGACUGGGAUGUGACAAUACCUAGGAGGUAGACCUGGGUAAAGUGACUAAUUUAUAGUGCUCUGGGAUUUGCAGGUGGCAAGGCUGUUCUCUCUCCCCCCUCCCGCCAUUGCUAUACACAUCAUUUAAUGCAUAUACAUACGUGCAUACGUACAGAUUUGAAUCUGUGUUCACCAUCCAACCAGCUGACUCAAUGUUCUUGUUGCAGAUGGUGAAGUUCCUCCCCUCUGCCAAGUACAGGUAUUUUUAUGAGUCCCUGGUAAGAGAUAAAAUAAGAAAGGAAACAAAGUGUGGGAUAUAGUAGUCAUUCAGCUUAAGUAGUGAUAGACCUCCAGUGCCCUAACACUUUUAAAUACAUUCUCUAUACCCAUGGUAGUGCAUUUAUUUUGAAGUAUAUAAUACAUAUAAAAGUGCCAGUUAAACCUUCCCUCUGAUUUACAUGCACUUACAUGAAUAUUUAGAAUGACAGCAAUGAGUAAUUUUGCAGAACAGAGACAUGAUAUGCUGGAUAACAGUUAAUCUAUUUAAAUGGACUGGUAGUCCACCUUUCCGUGGCCACGAUCAGCUGAUAAUCUCAGUGGAGGCUGCUUGGCUAAUCAUGUUUUUCUUGAAGUCAAUGACAGAUCAUCUAAUACCACCUUACAUUUAGAAUCCAAUUCUGUUAUCUUUGCAAAAAUGAUAUGUAUUCUCUAAAUUAAUGCCUGAUCACAAGAAGACAAAGCAUAUCUUGAUUUCUUUUGGGUGUCUGACCUUUCACAUUCAUUUUGCUGUUGCAAAACACAUUAAAUACUAUGGAAAGACUGUGGAAAAAAAAGCAUUUUCUUAUCUGUGAAAUAAUGAAUAUCUUUGUGCAUCCAAGAUAAUAGGUAUUCCAGCAUUCAUACUUACUAUAAAAUAUAGCAAGCAAA